rnacentral:rRNA from 1 species
UACGGGGGGAGCAAGCGUUGUUCGGAUUUACUGGCGUAAAGGGCGCGUAGGCGGCCACCGCAAGUCGACUGUGAAAUCUCCGGGCUUAACCCGGAAAGGUCAGCCGAUACUGCGGGCUAGAGUGCAGAAGGGGCAACUGGAAUUCUCGGUGUAGCGGUGAAAUGCGUAGAUAUCGAGAGGAACACCUGCGGCGAAGGCGGGUUGCUGGGCUGACACUGACGCUGAUGCGCGAAAGCUAGGGGAGCGAACGGG